rnacentral:ncRNA from 1 species
UGCUCCGAUGGGGCGGGAGGUCUUCCCAAGGAACGAGAGGGUGAAAGGACCCCCACCAAACCCCACCCUCUACCCCGCAGGACGCUCUCACUCGCGCGGGUGAACAUCUCCAACUCAGGUGGAUUUCGCACCGGUUGCCUGCCCUACGCUCGGCGCGACACAACCGCAGACAUGCGACGGCCCUCGCCGGGACUGCAAUCCCAGUGCGAGGGCCUGACCAUCAAGGAAGUAAAGGGCUUCCCG